rnacentral:rRNA from 1 species
AGAGUUUGAUCCUGGCUCAGGACAACGCUGGCAGCGUGCCUAAUACAUGCAAGUCGAGCGAACAGAGAAGGAGCUUGCUCCUUCGACGUUAGCGGCGGACGGGUGAGUAACACGUGGGCAACCUACCUUAUAGUUUGGGAUAACUCCGGGAAACCGGGGCUAAUACCGAAUAAUCUGUUUCACCUCAUGGUGAAACACUGAAAGACGGUUUCGGCUGUCGCUAUAGGAUGGGCCCGCGGCGCAUUAGCUAGUUGGUGAGGUAACGGCUCACCAAGGCGACGAUGCGUAGCCGACCUGAGAGGGUGAUCGGCCACACUGGGACUGAGACACGGCCCAGACUCCUACGGGAGGCAGCAGUAGGGAAUCUUCCACAAUGGGCGAAAGCCUGAUGGAGCAACGCCGCGUGAGUGAAGAAGGAUUUCGGUUCGUAAAACUCUGUUGUAAGGGAAGAACAAGUACAGUAGUAACUGGCUGUACCUUGACGGUACCUUAUUAGAAAGCCACGGCUAACUACGUG